rnacentral:rRNA from 1 species
AACGAACGCUGGCGGCAUGCCUAACACAUGCAAGUCGAACGGGAUCCUAGCUUGCUAGGUGAGAGUGGCGGACGGGUGAGUAACACGUGGGAAUCUGCCUUUUGGUUCGGGAUAACCGCGGGAAACUGCGGCUAAUACCGAAUGCCCUCGAGAGAGGAAAGAUUUAUCGCCAGAAGAGGAGCCCGCGUCCGAUUAGGUAGUUGGUGGGGUAAAGGCCUACCAAGCCGACGAUCGGUAGCUGGUCUGAGAGGAUGAUCAGCCACACUGGGACUGAGAUACGGCCCAGACUCCUACGGGAGGCAGCAGUGGGGAAUAUUGGACAAUGGGGGCAACCCUGAUCCAGCAAUGCCGCGUGAGUGAUGAAGGCCUUAGGGUUGUAAAGCUCUUUUACCCGGGAAGAUAAUGACUGUACCGGGAGAAUAAGCCCCGGCUAACUCCGUGCCAGCAGCCGCGGUAAU